UUCCGGUUGAUCCUGCCGGACCCGACUGCUAUCGGAUAGAGAUUAAGCCAUGCGAGUCGAACAUUUCUCAACUAUGUGAGAAGUGUGGCAUACGGCUCAGUAACACGUGGUCAACCUACCCUAAAGACAUGAAUAACCCCGGGAAACUGGGAUUAAUAUAUGAUAGGUCAUUUUUCCUGGAAUCGGUUUAUGACUUAAAGGAUUGUUAAGCAUGUUUGAUUAAUUGCUUUAGGAUGGGACUGCGACCGAUCAGGUUGUUGGUGGGGUAAUGGCCUACCAAGCCGAUUACCGGUGCGGGCUUUGAGAGAAGGAGCCCGGAGAUGGACACUGAGAAAAGGGUCCAGGCCCUACGGGGCGCAGCAGGCGCGAAAACUUUGCAAUGUGCGAAAGCACGACAAGGUUAAUCCGAGUGCAACAUGCUGAAUGUAGCUUUUGGUAAAUGUAAAUAGUUUAUUGAAUAAGGGGAGGGAAAGUCUGGUGUCAGCCGCCGCGGUAAUACCAGCUCCCCGAGUGGUCGGGACGAUUAUUGGGCCUAAAGCAUCCGUAGCCGGUUCUGUAGGUCUUAUGUUAAAAUCAAUUGCUCAACAAUUGAACUGCAUGAGAUACCACAAAACUAGGAGGCGGGAGAGGUGGACGGUACUCCACGGGUAGGGGUAAAAUCCUCUGAACCGUGGAAGACCACCAGUGGCGAAGGCGGUCCACCAGAACGCGCUCGACGGUGAGGGAUGAAAGCUGGGGUAGCGAACCGGAUUAGAUACCCGGGUAGUCCCAGCUGUAAACGAUGCAAGCUAGGUGAUGCAUCAGCCACGUGUUGAUGCAGUGCCGCAGGGAAGCCGUUAAGCUUGCCGCCUGGGGAGUACGGUCGCAAGGCUGAAACUUAAAGGAAUUGGCGGGGGAGCACCACAAGGGGUGAAGCCUGCGGUUCAAUUGGAUUCAACGCCGGAAAUC
rnacentral:rRNA from 1 species